ACUCCGGUCGCUGGAUAACGAGAUAUCUAUACCUCAUAUCGAUACAGUUACCCGUUUUAACACAUUCAAUAUCCGUCAAAUUUCCAGAAGCGAGUGCUGAGGUUAGCAAGUCUGAUCUUACCGCAAACUUCUUUUUUCAUUUGUAUAUUCGUCGUUUUUUUAAUAACUGCAUGGAGAUUUUAGAAAAAGAAUGCGGAAAGGAAUGCACGGAGGAUCACGUUUGUUCUUAAGUGACGUCAACGCUACAUUCUCUUCUCUAAUAACUCAGAAACACUUUCUCCGGUGUUACGGUGUAACGGACGAAUAGAGAUCCACAAUUAUCGCACGAAACGCGCAAUAAGUAUACGUGACUUUCAAUAUCGUGAAUGGAUUAGAAUUCCCGAUUUCGCAAGCCAAGCAUGUACACAUAGUAGUUCUCGCAAUUACGAGCGUAGAAUUGUGUCAUCAUUUAAACAACCUUCGUUGAUUGCAUCACGUUACUUUAUUACAAACCGUGCAAUAAUUAUCAUAAGAUUCGUUAUACCGUUUAAAGAUACAAAAAAUAUGGCGUUUCGAUAAAUUGUAUCGUUUGUUUGUGUAAAUUGGGCUAAUGUAAACGAUGCAGUCUUCCAGUUUGUAUUAGGUAAGCCGUAGUGGUCAAUCGUUAUUCUAAUGUUAUACAAUAUGCAGUCGGUAUGUUUGGAGUAAAUAAUGGAUGCUUUUACAAAGACUGCAACAAGACCUUCGAUGAAAAUGUCUUUAAAGAAUGACUGAUUCAUCGUCCGGUAGAUAUAGUAGGUCGUGUCGAAAUAAGUCUACGACAUACUUUACGUAUAGCUUUUUCCAUACCGUUGCUCGUUUACAAAAUCGCUAUGUAUCCGUUAUAAAUCCAAUGUAAGAAACUGCCGAUCAAAUGCAUCCCUACUACACCAUACACAA